UUGAACGCUGGCGGCAGGCCUAACACAUGCAAGUCGAACGGUAACAGGAAGAAGCUUGCUUCUUUGCUGACGAGUGGCGGACGGGUGAGUAAUGUCUGGGAAACUGCCUGAUGGAGGGGGAUAACUACUGGAAACGGUAGCUAAUACCGCAUAACGUCGCAAGACCAAAGAGGGGGACCUUCGGGCCUCUUGCCAUCGGAUGUGCCCAGAUGGGAUUAGCUUGUUGGUGGGGUAACGGCUCACCAAGGCGACGAUCCCUAGCUGGUCUGAGAGGAUGACCAGCCACACUGGAACUGAGACACGGUCCAGACUCCUACGGGAGGCAGCAGUGGGGAAUAUUGCACAAUGGGCGCAAGCCUGAUGCAGCCAUGCCGCGUGUAUGAAGAAGGCCUUCGGGUUGUAAAGUACUUUCAGCGGGGAGGAAGGGAGUAAAGUUAAUACCUUUGCUCAUUGACGUUACCCGCAGAAGAAGCACCGGCUAACUCCGUGCCAGCAGCCGCGGUAAUACGGAGGGUGCAAGCGUUAAUCGGAAUUACUGGGCGUAAAGCGCACGCAGGCGGUUUGUUAAGUCAGAUGUGAAAUCCCCGGGCUCAACCUGGGAACUGCAUCUGAUACUGGCAAGCUUGAGUCUCGUAGAGGGGGGUAGAAUUCCAGGUGUAGCGGUGAAAUGCGUAGAGAUCUGGAGGAAUACCGGUGGCGAAGGCGGCCCCCUGGACGAAGACUGACGCUCAGGUGCGAAAGCGUGGGGAGCAAACAGGAUUAGAUACCCUGGUAGUCCACGCCGUAAACGAUGUCGACUUGGAGGUUGUGCCCUUGAGGCGUGGCUUCCGGAGCUAACGCGUUAAGUCGACCGCCUGGGGAGUACGGCCGCAAGGUUAAAACUCAAAUGAAUUGACGGGGGCCCGCACAAGCGGUGGAGCAUGUGGUUUAAUUCGAUGCAACGCGAAGAACCUUACCUGGUCUUGACAUCCACAGAACUUUCCAGAGAUGGAUUGGUGCCUUCGGGAACUGUGAGACAGGUGCUGCAUGGCUGUCGUCAGCUCGUGUUGUGAAAUGUUGGGUUAAGUCCCGCAACGAGCGCAACCCUUAUCCUUUGUUGCCAGCGGUCCGGCCGGGAACUCAAAGGAGACUGCCAGUGAUAAACUGGAGGAAGGUGGGGAUGACGUCAAGUCAUCAUGGCCCUUACGACCAGGGCUACACACGUGCUACAAUGGCGCAUACAAAGAGAAGCGACCUCGCGAGAGCAAGCGGACCUCAUAAAGUAUGUCGUAGUCCGGAUUGGAGUCUGCAACUCGACUCCAUGAAGUCGGAAUCGCUAGUAAUCGUAGAUCAGAAUGCUACGGUGAAUACGUUCCCGGGCCUUGUACACACCGCCCGUCACACCAUGGGAGUGGGUUGCAAAAGAAGUAGGUAGCUUAACCUUCGGGAGGGCGCUUACCACUUUGUGAUUCAUGACUGGGGUG
rnacentral:rRNA from 1 species